AGNUAUUACUAAAUCUGCGGAAGGCUCCGUAUACCUGUUACUAGCUAUGGUGCCCACCCAAGUCGCGGAUAAUGCUGGAAACCCUAACAAUAAUACGUUCUAAACAUAUUGUUGUUUGGCCGCUUGCUUAUUAAGCUCGAUUGGAUUGCGCUUCUUGCAGGCGCAUUCCUCUCAACAGGGGUUUGCUUGCGGUCGUUGGGGUUCCUGCUUGUCCGGCAUACCGACCCGGGGUCCAAAAGAGUGGCUGCGCACAGUCGUACUCCUUCGCCUCCUGAAUUUGCUUGGGUAAUAUACACCGGCCUGCGUUCUGGGCUGUGAGAGAUCACAGCUUGGCACAGGGCGGGUGCUUACCCCAGGUAGUGAGGGAAUUAAGGCGGAGGUUCAGGUGCGAUGCAGUUUCACUUUUUCCCGGUGCUCGUCCAAUGCAUGAUUUGGGUGGGAAAAUGCCUCGAUGGAGGCAGCCGAUGCCCUCCACGCUCUCCAUGCGUUUCAGUCCUAUCAACUGGAUGGCUGGGCAUUGGCCAACCAUGGUGGUAACGGGUGCAGAGGAUUAGGGUUUGAUCCUGGAGAGGUAGCCUGAGAAAUAGCUCCCACUUCCAUGGAAGGCAGCAGGCGCGCAACGUUCCCAAUGGUUUGGACGCGACCGAGGACGUUAAGGAACAUAGCAAUACUUUGCCUAAAGCAAAGCAAUUGAAAUGGGGGCGAUCCAAAUCAUCCACCGAGUAACAAUUAGAGGACA
rnacentral:rRNA from 1 species